rnacentral:ribozyme from 18 species
AGGGACGGAGUGAAAGGUUUUUUUAUUAUUUUUUAUCUUUUUUUUUUUUUUUUUUUUUUUUUUUUU